ensembl:lncRNA
CUAAAUCCCAGAAAAUGUUUGUACAAAAUAGUUUUGAGUUUGUACAGUCAAAGGUAGACACUGCUAUUUUUUUGAACACACCCCUUUCAACUAAUUGCCCAAUUGCACAGCCUUAAGAGUGUGCAUAUCAUGAAUGCUGGGUCUUGUUUGUUUUCUGACAAUCUACUGAACCUACUGGUAACUUGUUUGCCACGUAGCAAUAAAAAAUAUACUAAAAACCUUGAUUAUUCUGGUUAGUCACAUUGUACUGCUAUUAUUUUGAACAAUACUGUAAUUGAAUCCUGGACUAACUGUAUUGUUGGAUCCCUAAUAGGCACAAAAACAGCUAUGUCAUACCCUGAUAUUGGUGUUUGCUUCUCAAAACCACUGCUGUCAUCAACAUAAAAAAAAAAAGGGCAAUUAAGAGAUCUCGUCUGAAGCUGGACGGGGAAGAGGACGACCGUUUGAAUGCAGCACAAGUCUGAUCGCCAAAGAGCCUUUGGAUCUUGUGGACUCUUUCACAGAUUUGACUGAGCCAACAGAUACGUCGAACGCUGGCUCUUCUGAUGUCAUCACCUGGAGUGCUGCCAACUCCUCUGCCGAGGCUUUCAGUUGUUUACUUCACAUUGCUUUAGUCCUUUUCUUCUUAUUCUUCCUCUUAACCACCUGUGAAAUACACCUUAACUACUAUAUGAAAGUGACGUGACAUUUAGCCAAGUAUGGUGACCCAUACUCAAAAUUUGUGCUCUGCAUUUAACCCAUCCGAAGUGCACACACAGCAGUGAACACACACAUACACUGUGAACACACACCCGGAGCAGUGGGCAGCAAUUUAUGCUGCGGCGCCUGGGGAGCAACUGGAGUUUAAUGCCUUGCUCAAGGGAACCUAAGUCAUGGUAUUGAAGGUGGAGAGAGCACUGUACAUGCAUCAGAGUUAAAUCCUCCUCCUCCAGGAAUCCCACAAACUUCUCUGCCUAUAAUAAAAAGCAGUUCAUCAAGUUUGACCACUUUUACAACUUCAGCUGUAAAUUUAUUAUGGAAGCAGUGCACAGGAAUCUAAUGCCCUGAUCUCCAAUCUGUACCAGUCUUUACGUUUAAAAAGAUUCUUUUUUUUUUUUUUCUCUAAAUGUGUACAUGCACUCCAGUCAUCAAUUCAUAAGAUUCAACAUUAUAUUCUGCCUCAUCAUAGUCCUCAAUCCACAUAAUGAAUGUAUUCUUGAAAAAACAUUCCUGGCAUAAAUCCCCCAUUGCAAAGUUACAUACAAUUAUCUUGUCCAAUAACAAUCCAGCAAUUACAUUUUCUUGUCAAUAAUUCUCCACCUGGGGAUCUCCUUAAUUCCUAUAUGAGCAUUAAAAGAAUGUUUUUUUUUUUUUUUUUAUUGUGGUCAUUUUUUGUAUUUGUUCUUAAUUUACUCAGUUACCUAUCAUAUUAGGUUUCCAUAAUAAAUCAUGCAUACAUUUUCAGAGCCAAUAACCCACUUAAAUGAAGUUCAAAAAUAAUAAAAAUAGAAAAUAAAAACUUAAAAACAUAUGUAACCCCCCUUUUCAUUUUAAUUUAUAUUAUCAUUUUAUAAUAUCAUUCACCGUAAUAAAAAGACCAUCGUUUACCAGAAUUUCCAAAAGGAUGUCACUGUUUCCUAACAAAACAGCAAUGCUGGUAGAAUCAUUCUUAAAAUUAUCCAUUGUAUAUCACUCAACUGUUCAGCCUUCG